rnacentral:rRNA from 1 species
AUUGAACGCUGGCGGCAUGCUUUACACAUGCAAGUCGAACGGCAGCGCGGGCUUCGGCCUGGCGGCGAGUGGCGAACGGGUGAGUAAUGCAUCGGAACGUGCCCAGUAGUGGGGGAUAGCCCGGCGAAAGCCGGAUAAAUACCGCAUACGACCUGAGGGUGAAAGCGGGGGACCGAAAGGCCUCGCGCUAUUGGAGCGGCCGAUGUCGGAUUAGCUAGUUGGUGGGGUAAAGGCUUACCAAGGCGACGAUCCGUAGCUGGUCUGAGAGGACGACCAGCCACACUGGGACUGAGACACGGCCCAGACUCCUACGGGAGGCAGCAGUGGGGAAUUUUGGACAAAGGGGGCAACCCUGAUCCAGCCAUGCCGCGUGCGGGAAGAAGGCCUUCGGGUUGUAAACCGCUUUUGUUCGGGAAGAAAUCCUCUGGGCUAAUACCCCGGGGGGAUGACGGUACCGGAAGAAUAAGCACCGGCUAACUACGUG